UACGUAGGGUGCGAGCGUUAAUCGGAAUUACUGGGCGUAAAGCGUGCGCAGGCGGUUUGCUAAGACAGGUGUGAAAUCCCCGGGCUUAACCUGGGAACUGCGCUUGUGACUGGCAGGCUAGAGUACGGCAGAGGGGGUGGAAUUCCUGGUGUAGCAGUGAAAUGCGUAGAUAUCAGGAGGAACACCGAUGGCGAAGGCAGCCCCCUGGGCCUGUACUGACGCUCAUGCACGAAAGCGUGGGGAGCAAACAGGAUUAGAUACCCCGGUA
rnacentral:rRNA from 1 species